GUCUGCCGAUGAGCUCUGUCAUGCAGUCGUUUCUCUCUCCAGUGAACAAGGCUAUUCUAGUAGCUCUGUUCAUCUUCGCCAUCCUCCUCAUCCUCUAUGUGAUCCUCUGGUACAUCUGUAGAGACGUGGACUGCGACCACGGUAUCUGAUCUGAUUAACACCGGGAACACCACCGAAUAACCUAACGGUGGAUAGAGACCCGUCUGAAAGAGGGUCACCCUGAGCUGCCCAGACAACAUGGCAGAGUUGGUAUAGUGACGGGAGGCAUCAGUGGAAUCUGCUUUGAGACCGCAAGACACAUGGCCAGCCUGGGGGCACACUUUAUCAUAGCUGGACAGCAGGAGUGGGAGGGUGUGUCUGCUGUGAAGAGGAUUCGUGAGGAGAACAGAGAGGCCAAAGUUCUGUAAACAGCUGAGAGAUGAGUGUAACGGCUGUUGGAAGGAGUGGAGGACCAAGGUGCAGCGUGUGGUGUUUGAGCAGUUGGAUUUGGCGUUUUUGCUGUCAGUAAGGCAAUUCAUCAAGACAUUCAAGAGAGGCUGAAUAGAAGAGGGUUCCCAGCGAGCUCAUGUGCAGUGGACCCUGGGAUGGUCGACACGUCGCUCUACCGCCCCCCCCCCCCCCCCCGGUCGUCUUGCACAGACAGCCAUCACACGCCUACUCUUUAGGAGCCCGUCCCAGGGAGCGUCUAUGGUCCUCUACACUGCUCUGUCUCCGUGUCUGGAAGGGGAGAGAGGGGGCUACUGGAGCAACGGACGCACAGAGAUGUCAACACCAAACACCUACCACCCCAGGCUCCAGCUCAGCCUCUGGGACUUCAGCUGCAGACUAGUGAGCUUGCAGGAGCAGCACCAACCAUGACCCCUGACCUCUAACCCCUGAGCUCUUAGUCCAUGACCCUGACACCAUCACUGUAUGGCUGAGACCCAACACCUCAUCUGUCAUCCUGCCAUUAUCUUUGUUUUCACAAUCUCCUUACCGCCAGACUGUGAUUGUGUGUGUUUCUGGGCACAGUAUGUAUGUGUGUGUGUGUCUUUCAGUGUGCACUGUUUGUGUGUUUGGUUUGUAUGCAUCAGUGGCGGUUCUAGCUUGUAUGGCUCACUGGGCGAACCCCCCCUUCAGCACGCCCCCCCCUAAAAAAACACAAUUCUGUACUUUUAUUCAGACAUUUGGAACAACGCAAAUAAAUAAUCAUAAUUUAAAACUAUAUAAAUAUAAAAAAUAUAUACAGCAAUAGGAUGCAUAAAUAUCAAAAAGAAGUAACAAAGACAAAUAGAAACAAUUUUGUGUUGAUUUGGCACUUGAACAUCGUCCCAUUACCCAUCCCCCAACACUGUUAACCAAGAGUCAAGAUUAAACCAAUUCACCUUGGUGGUGUGCAGACUGGUUUAUAUCAUUCUUAACGAUUUAGCACAAACCAGAAAAAAAUGCAACAAUAUGUCUGUGAAACUGUGGUUAUUUAUGAUGGUUUAUUUGGUAUACUUUCGUAGUGUGACCGAUUUUACUAAUUGCAUUAGUACUGUACAGAGUUAGAGGUGCGCUAUUUGAUAGAUUCCCUCACUCCCCCUACCUCUGGCUUCCAGUGGGGAGACCUGAGGUCAACCUACCCCCGCCCCCUUCCCAUCUCGUACUUCUGAGUGGGAGACCUUCCCAGGCAGUAACCUGUCUAGCUCACAAACUAGAAUCAGGCCACCCACUCCGACAAGGUUAAUUAACCCACAGUCCCACACGGUGACAUGAUAUCAUUGACAUGACGUGCAAAUAAGCGAUAGAAAACCGGUCGCGCAAAUGUCACCAUUACGUUUUUUUUGUGUGGGCGUCCCGUGCCACCAAGGGUGGCUGCCCAUGUCACCUGUACCUAAAUCCGCCACUGGUAUGCAUCAAUAAAACGGCUGUACAACUGAAACCAAUACGGAUGAAUGUGGCGGUGAGAGCGGGAAAGAGAGACAGAGAGUGAGAGAGAUUCUUCCUCUGUGGUGUUUCAUCUUGUCUCGCUGCUGCUACCUCAUUUUCCCUUGCUCCCAGUGCAUGUGGGAGGUAGAUUUCCCAGUGGAAAUUAUGCAAAGUGAAGACAAAGACAAACAGACGCACACACACACACAUAACCACCUGUGCAACCAAGCACAGACUUAUCGAAACAAUCAAGUCACACUCUCAUGGCCAGGGGCGGACUGGGACCAGAAAUUGGCCCUGGAGUUUCAAACACAAUGGCCCAUUUUAUUAAUUGAGGCCCCCAUUAUUAGCCAGAUAAUGCUAAUUUUGACCAAAAAACCCAAGUUAGCCCAAUGUGCUAAAAACGGACCAGCCAGUCUUCCCCCUGCUCAUGGCCAAACCAUACCCACUGUGAUUUAUCUACCAACAGUGCUCUGAUUUACAGGCUUAUAUCAAACUAGCUUCCUUUAUAUGACACACACAUUCCCACAGAAACUAGUAUAUCAGGACCACACAUUCCCACAGAGACUAGUAUAUCAGGACAGGGGAUAACUACAGACUCUGUGUGUAACCUUCCUUUACUUUACCCUUCCAGUCUCCUAGGGGCUGAUUCCAACAUAGGAAGUGUACGCCUUUCUUACGCACGCCUUUCAGACUUACCUUAUGAAGGUGUGUAACAGGCUUUGCAGGCGUGGUUCCCUUGCACACGCUAAAUAAAUAUAUUUAAACUGCUGAAAAACCUCUCAAUUGCUGGCCAACAGAAUUUCUCAUGGUGUUUUCAUAGCGUUUUCAGUACAUUUAUCUAAAGACAUUCUUUUAAAUGUGUUCACUAGAAUAUAUGGAAAGAAUGGGUCAGUAUAUUAGGGAUCAAUAGAAGAAAGCUAUGUAGGCCUAAAUUCAUUCGUCUCUUUUUCAUCACCAAUUGGUAAAUAAAAAAAUACUCUUGUAUUAUUUAGGGUUAGGAAAGUAUUUAUGAAUAAUAAAAUAACAUUUGGAGAGCCUUUACGCACUAAAUAUAUUUGUUGAUUCAUCCUGAAAUUUGCCAUAUAUUUAAUUGUUCAAUUCAUGAAAUAUUGUUCAGGAACAACCGCAACAAACGUGAUGAUGCAAAAUGUAAGGAAACGAACACAAGUGAAAGUUAUACAUGUAUGUGGGUAUAACUGACGGUGGAACCAAUUGUAAAAAAAUACAGUGAAAAGUCUGACCAUAUAAUUCAAACUCUAGACAUCAUAAAUCAACUUGGUAGGUUUGGCGCUAUACGUUCAUUUGCACAUGGCUAUAGAGGCCUAUAGUUUGGGUCUCCAAAUGUCAUCCUUGUAAGUUAUAAGGACAGCAUUUCAUAAACUGCACCGUGGAAAAGGUGAUAUGUUGAUAUGCUUCAGUUUGCUGCCAUACUGUAGUACUGGUUUCACAUUUGUUUUCAGCAAUCAUAAGGUAAAAUAGAUCAAAAACAAUUGUCAUUUAUAUUUACUCAUUUACCUAACUUAAAAAAAAAAUACAGUGCAUGGAGAAUGGCGUUAUUUAGAUUGGAAAAAAUAAAGUCGUUUCUUGACCUUAAUCGUCGUUUCAUCACUCGUAAAGGUGGUGGAAUUAUGAGGGAAUUAAGUCAAGAAUACAGCGUUUCUGUCGACACACCUCCACCCCACUUGAAUUUCUUUGAUCUCCGCCCCACUUGAAUUUCUUUGAUCUCCACCCCAAAGGAAUAGUGGGUGAAUAGCAUGAUAUUUCAUGCUUAAAUUCAAGGUCAGAAUAAUCGUGAAGAGAAAAGUGCAUAACAAGAGAAUAAGGUUCCAUUUACGCGCAUUUAGCUCGGUCGGAAUCCCCCUACUGAACACAAGGUUCAUGUCUUCCAGAGAGGUGUGUGAGUGUGUAGCUGUCAGACUGCAUGCGCUUUGGGUUGAUUAUUCUGGGUAGGGUCAGGUUAGUUUGGACUAAACCAAGGUUAUCUGCUGUAUAUCUCAUUGGGCCAACAGAGUACUUUGCAAUAGGGUGCCAUUUUGUACACAGACCAUAUAAUACACCCUUAGGGUUUCUAUUAAAUGGUUCUGUCCCAGUCGGAUGGGAAAACACACAGGGCUCCACUCAAUCAAACACAGUAGUCCUACAGUCCAUGGUCAAAUGAAUCACAGAAUGUUUCUGAAAACAUAACUUUAUUCCCAGCUGUGAGAAUCCCAUCACAGGCACAUGUAGAUGAUUCCAGAUUUUAAAAUAAGAAGUGUGUGUUUGCAGAAGUUUGUAUGAACAUCACCAUGAUGUGUUUGAUUGAAUUCCAGACUGUUGACAUACGGAGGGGGCUACAGGAGAAUAUACAAGAUAUUGAUCAUGUUGAUUUAAAAUGUGCAAAAUAUAUUUUGGUUGAAAAUGUAUCUCUUGCUUUGCUGUGCCUGAACUCCCUCAAAUGUAGAAUUCGACUGAAUUUCCAUGUAAUUUAGCUGUAGUAAAACUGAACUGUCUUGUCUUGUUAUUGUCAUAUUUCUGUAAAAACCUUUGAUAAACAGUGGUCUGCUGUUUGAGAAGUAUGAAGACCUUAUACCUGCAGGAGAAAGACUACUGUUCACUAUGAAGACUGUGUCAUAUGGAGAUUAUGGUUAGUGUGAAUAUGGAGGUCAGUGUUUGUCAAUAUGAAGAGUAUUUUUAUGUGGUUGUGAUGUUCUCCUCCUUUUCUACCACCCAAAACCUCAAUAAACAUUUCAUUGUGCC